ACCAAGAAACAUGAAGCAAUCACAACAAAGAGAAUAGCAGAUGUUGUGUUGAUGUUAACAACACCACUAGAUGUAACACCUUCUGUGUGUGUAAAAUCAUCUGAACCAUCCUUUAAAAGCUUGUCCUGCUCGAUAGCCACUUCUCUGGCACUCCACGCAGACCAAUAAGAAGCACCUAAGAUGGUACCAACAGCCAUGAGCCACAAAAACACUUCUGCAACAUCAACUAGCGGGCGCUGUGGAGAAUAUAGCUGCACAUAAACUCUGGAGCUACUCUUUAUAUAUUUUUCCAAGCUUGCACCAGCAUCUUGCGGAAGCAUGAUAGCAGGAAUUCCUAUGAUUACAUCAGUUUCAUUUGCUCCACAAACCAUUUUAAAAAGUGCUGUUCGGUUAUUUAUUAUAAGAAUAGCUGAAGCAUUAGCCCCUUCAGCAAUAUUUGACUUGGUUGUGAAGCUGCAAUUACCUCGGUG
rnacentral:misc_RNA from 1 species